rnacentral:rRNA from 1 species
UGGGGAAUAUUGCGCAAUGGGGGAAACCCUGACGCAGCGACGCCGCGUGCGGGAUGAAGGCCUUCGGGUUGUAAACCGCUUUUGAUUGGGAGCAAGCUUUCGGGUGAGUGUACCUUUCGAAUAAGCGCCGGCUAACUACGUGCCAGCAGCCGCGGUAAUACGUAGGGCGCAAGCGUUAUCCGGAAUUAUUGGGCGUAAAGGGUACGUAGGCGGGUAAGCAAGUUAGAAGUGAAAUCCUGUAGCUCAACUACAGUAAGCUUUUAAAACUGCUAGGCUUGAGAGAUGGAAGGGAAAGUGGAAUUCCUAGUGUAGCGGUGAAAUGCGCAGAUAUUAGGAAGAAUACCGGUGGCGAAGGCGACUUUCUGGUCAUCAUCUGACGCUGAGGUACGAAAGCGUGGGUAGCAAACAGG